GACGAACGCUGGCGGCGCGCCUAACACAUGCAAGUCGAACGAGCGAGAGAUAGCUUGCUUUCUCGAGCGAGUGGCGAACGGGUGAGUAACGCGUGAGGAACCUGCCUCAAAGAGGGGGACAACAGUUGGAAACGACUGCUAAUACCGCAUAAGCCCACGGCUCGGCAUCGAGCAGAGGGAAAAGGAGCAAUCCGCUUUGAGAUGGCCUCGCGUCCGAUUAGCUAGUUGGUGAGGUAACGGCCCACCAAGGCGACGAUCGGUAGCCGGACUGAGAGGUUGAACGGCCACAUUGGGACUGAGACACGGCCCAGACUCCUACGGGAGGCAGCAGUGGGGAAUAUUGCACAAUGGGGGAAACCCUGAUGCAGCGACGCCGCGUGGAGGAAGAAGGUCUUCGGAUUGUAAACUCCUGU
rnacentral:rRNA from 1 species